rnacentral:rRNA from 1 species
UCCCGCCAUCUGCCUUCUCGCCCUCCGUCUUGUCCUUCUUCUUCUUCUUCU